UAAGGAAUAUUGGUCAAUGGACGAAAGUCUGAACCAGCCAUGCCGCGUGAAGGAUGAAGGUCCUCUGGAUUGUAAACUUCUUUUAUUUGGGACGAAAAAAGGGAAUUCUUUCUCGUCUGACGGUACCAGAUGAAUAAGCACCGGCUAACUCCGUGCCAGCAGCCGCGGUAAUACGGAGGGUGCAAGCGUUAUCCGGAUUCACUGGGUUUAAAGGGUGCGUAGGCGGGCAGGUAAGUCAGUGGUGAAAUCUUCGAGCUUAACUCGGAAACUGCCUUUGAUACUAUCUGUCUUGAAUAUUGUGGAGGUAAGCGGAAUAUGUCAUGUAGCGGUGAAAUGCUUAGAUAUGACAUAGAACACCUAUUGCGAAGGCAGCUUACUACGCAUAUAUUGACGCUGAGGCACGAAAGCGUGGGGAUCAAACAGG
rnacentral:rRNA from 1 species